rnacentral:lncRNA from 1 species
AGGGUUCGAAUAGACACAAAAUAUCUUCCAAAACAUGUAUCAAGAAAACUAAACUGAUUCAACAACACUUGUCUGUAGCGUGAGCUAGGGUUGGCCACAUAAAAGGGUAGGAGUGCCCAAUUUUAUUGGAAAAAGUAUGAGAGUUCACAUUAGAGAUUGAGGAUUCGAAUGGACACAAAAGAUCUGCCAAAACAUGAGUUAAAAAAAUUGAACUGAUUCAACCAUACCCGUUUGUACCGUGAGCUAGGGUUGGCCACAUCAAAGGCUAGGAGUUUCCAAUUUGAGUGGAAAAAGUAUGAGACUUCACAUUAGAGAUUGAGGAUUCGAAUGGACACAAAAUAUCUGCAAAAACAUGAAUCAAGAAAACUGAACUGAUUCAACCAUACCCGUUUGUACCGUGAGCUAGGGUUGGCCACAUAAAAGGCUAGGAGUGUCCAAUUUGAUUGCAAAAAGUAUGAGAGUUCACAUUAGAGAUUGAGGAUUCGAAUGGACACAAAAGAUCUGCCAAAACAUGAGUCAAAAAAAUUGAACAGAUUCAACAAUACCCAUCUGUACCGUGAGCUAGGGUUGGCUACAUAAAAGGCUAGGAGUGUCCAAGUUGAUUGGAAAAACUAUGAGAGUUCACAGUAGAGAUUGAGGAUUCAAAUGGACACAAAAGAUCUGCCAAAACAUGAGUCAAAAAAAUUGAACAGAUUCAACAAUACCCGUCUGUACCGUGAGCUAGGGUUGGCCACAUCAAAGGCUAGGAGUUUCCAAUUUGACUGGAAAAAGUAUGAGACUUCACAUUUUAGAUUGAGGAUUCGAAUAGACACAAAAAAUCUGCCAAAAGAUGUAUCAAGAAAACUAAACUGAUUCAACAACACUUGUCUGUAGCGUGAGCUAAUGUUGGCCACAUAAAAGCCUAGGAGUGCCCAAUUUGAUUGGAAAAAGAAUGAUAGUUCACAUUAGAGAUUGAGGAUUCGAAUGGACACAAAAGAUCUGCCAAAACAUGAGUCAAAAAAAAUUUGAACUGAUUCAACCAUACCCGUUUGUACCGUGAGCUAGGGUUGGGCCACAUCAAAGCUAGAGUUUCCAAUUUGAGUGGAAAAAGUAUGAGACUUCACAUUAGGGAUUGAAGAUUCGAAUGGACACAAAUAUCUGCCAAAACAUGAAUCAAGAAAACUGAACAUAUUCAACAAUACCCAUCUGUACCGUAAGCUAGGGUGGGCUACAUAGAAGGCGAGGAGUGUCCAAUUUGAGUGGAAAAAGUAUGAGACUUCACAUUAGAGAUUGAGGAUUCGAAUGGACACAAAAGAUCUGCCAAAACAUGAGUCAAAAAAAUUGAACUGAUUCAACAAUACCCGUCUGUACCGUGAGCUAGGGUUGGCUACAUAGAGGUCUAGGAGUGUCCAAUUUGAGUGCAAAAAGUAUGAGAGUUCACAUUAGAGAUUUAGGAUUCAAAUGGACACAAAAGAUCUGCCAAAACAUGAAUCAAAAAAAUUGAACAGAAUCAACAAUACCUGUCUGUAC